rnacentral:rRNA from 1 species
AGGGUUUGAUCCUGGCUCAGGAUGAACGCUGGCGGCGUGCUUAACACAUGCAAGUCGAACGGGAAACAUUUCAUUGAGGCUUCGGCGGAUUUGGUCUGUUUCUAGUGGCGGACGGGUGAGUAACGCGUGGGUAACCUGCCUUAUACUGGGGGAUAACAGCCAGAAAUGACUGCUAAUACCGCAUAAGCGCACAGAACCGCAUGGUUCGGUGUGAAAAACUCCGGUGGUAUAAGAUGGACCCGCGUUGGAUUAGCUAGUUGGCAGGGCAGCGGCCUACCAAGGCGACGAUCCAUAGCCGGCCUGAGAGGGUGAACGGCCACAUUGGGACUGAGACACGGCCCAG